rnacentral:lncRNA from 12 species
UCUGUUUAUGUGAUUAAAGGAGAAAACACGGUCCCCUUUAAAUCAGAAUCGUGCUGGGUUCCCAGGACGAGGAGUAUUUAACUUUAAAUAAAUCACCCAGAUCAUUUCUAGGUUUGAGAGUCAUAUCUCCAUUUCCGGAAUCAUUCCCUUGACUCCAACUCCAUCAUCCUCCGGAUUAGGAAAAUGGGAGAGGGGGAGGAGAGAAGAUUAACAAAAAGAUUUUUAGAAGUCAGGCCCAAACCAUCCUCUGCCUCCCCCCCCCCCCCCCCGCCCUCUUCCAUUACCCUCCCCCGGGGCUCUCCACCCACGAAUAAUUAUACACUUAGGGAAGGAGGGUGUGUUUCAACAUCAAUCUAACUCAAUUUCUAAGGAGCCAGGGGCGACUGUAGUUCUCCCUUCGGAUUUUGUGAAUGGGUGUUUGCAGCACAGAGGAGAUGGGUGCCUUCUGAAACGACCUGAAGCCCUGGAAACUGUCCCUUCAGCACUUGCGCCAGACAACGUAGGAGGCGCUGAAAAGAUAGGGUGCCUCCAUGUAAUGCUUCUGGUGCUUCUAGACUUUGGUCCUUUGGAAGAAAAACGAUGAGUUUCUGGAAUAUAUCUCUAAAGAGAAAGGAUUAUUAUCAUCCUACAGAAAAUGUUUCAUAAAUGCAUAAAGUCAAAGGUAAGGGAACAGAAAAAAAUAUCUGAACUAAAAAGACAGGUUUUGAUCUAAUAGAAUAAUAGAGUAUAAAUCCAAAGAUAUCUGGAAUUUACUUCUUAGGUAAUUAGUAACUAAUAACAUGUUAUAGUAGGGGGAAAUGUCUGAAACAGAUUGUCUAGAUGAGUGUUUUCAAAACUGUUGCAAAGAAUGCAUGUUUCUAGAAAUACCAACAUUUUAUUAAAUUAAGAUUCCAUUGUUUGGAAAGCCUCUAGCAAAAUUUAUCCAAAUUUAUUUUUCUUCAUAACAGAAAGAACUCUUAGUUUUAUUUGGGGUUGAAGGUAGAAGCCAAUGGUUUGGUGAGCUCACUACUGGUGAUUUUAAAACAUGAGACUGGAAAUUUAAAGCAAAGAAAGAGAAAAACAAGCUGCCAGAUGGUCAGUUAUUGAACUCAACCAAGCUCUCUAAAACAAAGGAAUACCGGGAGAGGUGUCCUGGCUGUUU